UGGUUAUGAGUCGUAAGAUGCUUAAUUUCGACUUAAGAGGAGGGGUUUA
rnacentral:tRNA from 1 species